UGGGGAAUAUUGCACAAUGGGCGCAAGCCUGAUGCAGCCAUGCCGCGUGUAUGAAGAAGGCCUUCGGGUUGUAAAGUACUUUCAGUCGGGAGGAAGGUGUCAAGGUUAAUAACCUUGGCAAUUGACGUUACCGACAGAAGAAGCACCGGCUAACUCCGUGCCAGCAGCCGCGGUAAUACGGAGGGUGCAAGCGUUAAUCGGAAUUACUGGGCGUAAAGCGCACGCAGGCGGUUGAUUGAGUCAGAUGUGAAAUCCCCGGGCUUAACCCGGGAAUUGCAUCUGAUACUGGUCAGCUAGAGUCUUGUAGAGGGGGGUAGAAUUCCAUGUGUAGCGGUGAAAUGCGUAGAGAUGUGGAGGAAUACCGGUGGCGAAGGCGGCCCCCUGGACAAAGACUGACGCUCAGGUGCGAAAGCGUGGGGAGCAAACAGGA
rnacentral:rRNA from 1 species